rnacentral:rRNA from 1 species
AUUGAACGCUGGCGGAAUGCUUUACACAUGCAAGUCGAACGGCAGCAUAGAGAGCUUUGCUCUCUGAUGGCGAGUGGCGAACGGGUGAGUAAUAUAUCGGAACGUGCCUAGUAAUGGGGAAUAACUAGCUGAAAGGUUAGCUAAUGCCGCAUACGACCUACGGGUGAAAGCAGGGGAUCUUCGGACCUUGCGUUAUUAGAGCGGCCGAUAUCUGAUUAGCUUGUUGGUGGGGUAAUGGCCUACCAAGGCGACGAUCAGUAGCUGGUCUGAGAGGACGAUCAGCCACACUGGAACUGAGACACGGUCCAGACUCCUACGGGAGGCAGCAGUGGGGAAUUUUGGACAAUGGGGGCAACCCUGAUCCAGCCAUUCCGCGUGAGUGAAGAAGGCCUUCGGGUUGUAAAGCUCUUUCGCAAGAGAAGAAAACUUGCUAUCUAAUAAAUAGUAAGUAUGACGGUAUCUUGACAAGAAGCACCGGCUAACUACGUGCCAGCAGCCGCGGUAAUACGUAGGGUGCAAGCGUUAAUCGGAAUUACUGGGCGUAAAGCGUGCGCAGGCAGUUUUAUAAGUCAGAUGUGAAAUCCCCGAGCUCAACUUGGGAACUGCGUUUGAAACUAUAAGACUAGAGUGUGUCAGAGGGGGGUAGAAUUCCAAGUGUAGCAGUGAAAUGCGUAGAGAUUUGGAGGAAUACCAAUGGCGAAGGCAGCCCCCUGGGAUAACACUGACGCUCA